rnacentral:misc_RNA from 1 species
CCAUCUUACAGAUUUAUUUCUGAAUUUUUAUCCAAUCAGGACCUUCCCUACUCCCUCCGGAGAUUUACUUUCCUCCCUUUGAUCAUUUCAACGGUUCAGAUUCACUCUCACUUCUCUCAUACCGCACCUCCCUCUCUCGUUUUCUAUAAAACGCAGCUCUUCACCCCGAAGUUUCAGUUUCAAGCCCCUAGAAGAAGAAGAAGAAGAAGCUGAAUAGAAACGCAGAGAAUCAGAAUAAUUUCCUCUUCAUUUUCUACGCUCUGAGAUGGAGAACGAGAAGAAAAAUCCGGAAUUGAAGCAUUUAGGGUUCGUGAGGAUGGCUGCUAUCCAGAUGCUGGUGUGCGUCUCGAAUCUGUACGAUUACGCGAAGCAGAACUCAGGGCCAUUGAGAUCUACCGUUGGGACCGUUGAGAAGGCUGUAACUACGGUUGUGAGUCCAGUCUGCCAGAAAUUCAAGGACGUGCCUGAUGAUCUUCUUGUAUUUCUUGAUAAAAAGGUAUAUGAAGGUACACGGAAGUUUGAU